rnacentral:snRNA from 1 species
GUGCUCGCUUCGGCAGCACAUAUACUAAAAUUGGAACUAUACAGGGAAGAUUAGCAUGGCCCUUGUGCAAAAUGUGCAAACUUCUAUUUCAGUAUAUUUAU